CGUCCGAAAAUACUUGUCAUUAAAAUCAAUAAAAAGGGAUGUAUCUAGAUGUAUAUUAGUUCUAGAUACAUCUCUUUUUAUCCAUUUCGAUGACAAGUAUUUUGAUG
rnacentral:pre_miRNA from 1 species